rnacentral:lncRNA from 1 species
CUCUCUAGAGCCCAGACUUGAGCUGGAGAUAGGCUGAAACAGCUGAGCUGACUUGAAAGCCUUCUGUUGGGAGAAAUAAGGACAUGCCAUUCUAGGUCAGGGAGCUGCCGACACAGUUGAAAGGGGUAAACCAAUUUUGAAGUGGAUAGAGGAGGGAGAAGGCGCCAUUCUGUAUAAGGAGCCCAAGUGAAGAGAACCAUGUCUGAGUCACAGUGCCUCUCUAAAGUCUCAAAGAUGCUGUGUGGAGUUCAUAGAAUUGCAAAUCUAAUAGAAGAAAUACUUGGCAUCCUCUUUCAAAAAUAAAAAUUCAGUCUAUUUGUAAUACUGAAAUGAAGAGAUUGGGAAACUGUUCAAUGGACAACAGCAUUAAAGAGAGAGAAAGGUAGUAUCCUGAUAGAAUUUUUCUAUAUUGUCUCAGCCUGCCUUUAUCUAUUUCUUACAUUUGUGCCUGUCACCCUAUUAUCUUUUCUGUAACUACUCUUUUAAACAUAUUCAUUGGACAAAAGCCAAUUUCUUCCUUGGCAUUAAGUUUAUAAGUUUUAUAAAGUACUAUUAUGGCAUUGCAUCUUUUAACAUAUAAUUAUCUUGAUCUAUAGAAGCACGUAAAAU